UACGUAGGGCGCCAGCGUUGUCCGGAAUUAUUGGGCGCAAAGAGCUCGUAGGCGGUUUGUCGCGUCUGCUGUGAAAACUCGAGGCUCAACCUCGGGCUUGCAGUGGGUACGGGCAGACUAGAGUGCGGUAGGGGAGACUGGAAUUCCUGGUGUAGCGGUGGAAUGCGCAGAUAUCAGGAGGAACACCGAUGGCGAAGGCAGGUCUCUGGGCCGCAACUGACGCUGAGGAGCGAAAGCAUGGGGAGCGAACAGG
rnacentral:rRNA from 1 species